ensembl:lncRNA MIR22HG MIR22 host gene
GAAGAGACAGCGCCGCCGGCCGUGGGGAGCGGACGCAGUGAUUUGCUCCCCCUCGUGCAGCAACCCCCACACCCAGCACCAGGCCCCCAGAACUCUCCUUCCAGCUGAACUCCCUGGGAACAAGUCAGUUGGGCUGAUCACUGAACUCACAUUUCUGGACCUGAGAUCUUUCCCAUUUUCCCUCCCUUUCCCUUAGGAGCCUGUUCCUCUCACGCCCUCACCUGGCUGAGCCGCAGUAGUUCUUCAGUGGCAAGCUUUAUGUCCUGACCCAGCUAAAGCUGCCAGUUGAAGAACUGUUGCCCUCUGCCCCUGGCUUCGAGGAGGAGGAGGAGCUGCUUUCCCCAUCAUCUGGAAGCGGCUACAGGAAGCUGUGUCUGUUCGAUUUGGUGGGAGGAGAUGUGCAGGGAGCUGUAUCUUGUCCUCCGCUUGUGAAAAACUCAAGGAUGUGGAGAAGAGUAGACCGUGGAACCCUGCUCUUCUGCAGCCAAGCUGAGGGGCAGGAUGCGUGUGGGACAGUGGUAGAGAAGCAGGGGAUAGACUCAUAGGCUGCAACAAAGGUGACUCUGUCCCUGGACACUGCCUCCGUACUUUCUCCUUGCUUCACUGGCCACAGCAUCUCCCUCCAGCCCUCGCUAUGUGCCUCUGCCAUCUUCACCCAUCAUGGAGCAGAGGUGAGGAGAGGCAGCCUGGGAAUAUGGAGACCAGUGAAGGACCAGGCCUGGAGAGCACAGGGUCCUACCUGGGCAUCCAGCAGAGGAGCCCCUAAAGGCCAGGAGCACCCCAAGAGGAGGGAGGGCAGCCAGCCUCCAUUGACGGCGAGCCUCCAGCCCUCUCCUACUUUGAUCACCAUUUCUCUCCAGGCUUUCUGCCUCCGAGAUGUGGCACCAUAGUGCGGUGCC